GUGCUUGCUUUGGCAGCUCAUAUACUAAAACUGGAAUGAUACAGUGAAGAUUAGCAUGGCCCCUGCUCAAGAAUGACGUGCAAAUGCAUGAAGCGUUCCGUAUUUUU